CCAUGCUAGGCGGGGAGUUAGCGGUUCCCUUUACUUGAAAUCCGCUUUAUGCAAGGCUGAAAGCUUGCCUCGGCAAAAUUAAGGUAAGAAGUUUGGUGUAAUUUUUUUGUGAUGAAAUCAAGGUCUUAUGCAAUAGAAAUUCGUGAAUCAUGUCAGGGUCGGAAGACAGCAUCAUUAAGCGAAACCUUCUAUGUGCCAUAAGGUAGCUUUGGUGGAGCAAAAGGUUACAUUAAUGCUUAGUUUGUUUUGACAAAGCAAGAAGCAUGG
rnacentral:SRP_RNA from 1 species